AGUGAACGCUGGCGGUAGGCCUAACACAUGCAAGUCGAACGGCAGCACAGGAGAGCUUGCUCUCUGGGUGGCGAGUGGCGGACGGGUGAGGAAUACAUCGGAAUCUACUCUGUCGUGGGGGAUAACGUAGGGAAACUUACGCUAAUACCGCACACGACCUACGGGUGAUAGCAGGGGACCUUCGGGCCUUGCGCGAUUGAAUGAGCCGAUGUCGGAUUAGCUAGUUGGCGGGGUAAAGGCCAACCAAGGCGAAGAUCCGUAGCUGGUCUGAGAGGAUGAUCAGCCAAACUGGAACUGAGACACGGUCCAGACUCCUACGGGAGGCAGCAGUGGGGAAUAUUGGACAAUGGGCGCAAGCCUGAUCCAGCCAUACCGCGUGGGUGAAGAAGGCCUUCGGGUUGUAAAGCCCUUUUGUUGGGAAAGAAAUCCAGCUGGCUAAUACCCGGUUGGGACGACGGUACCCAAAGAAUAAGCACCGGCUAACUUCGUGCCAGCCGCCGCCGUAA
rnacentral:rRNA from 1 species